rnacentral:tRNA from 1 species
CAUUAAGAAGCUAAACAGGGAAAAGCGUUAGCCUUUUAAGCUAAAGAAUUGGUGCCUCCCAACCACCCUUAGUGA